rnacentral:rRNA from 1 species
CUACGGGCGGCUCCAGUGGGGAAUAUUGCACAAUGGGCGCAAGCCUGAUGCAGCCGUGCCGCGUGUAUGAAGAAGGCCUUCGGGUUGUAAAGUACUUUCAGCGGGGAGGAAGGGAGUAAAGUUAAUACCUUUGCUCAUUGACGUUACCCGCAGAAGAAGCACCGGCUAACUCCGUGCCAGCAGCCGCGGUAAUACGGAGGGUGCAAGCGUUAAUCGGAAUUACUGGGCGUAAAGCGCACGCAGGCGGUUUGUUAAGUCAGAUGUGAAAUCCCCGGGCUCAACCUGGGAACUGCAUCUGAUACUGGCAAGCUUGAGUCUAGUAGAGGGGGGUAGAAUUCCAGGUGUAGCGGUGACAUGCGUAGAGAUCUGGAGGAAUACCGGUGGCGAAGGCGGCCCCCUGGACGAAGACUGACGCUCAGGUGCGAAAGCGUGGGGAGCAAACAGGAUUAGAUACCCGCGUAGUC